rnacentral:sRNA from 1 species
CAGACAGGCAUGGGUUCUGAAGUCCUCUGCAUAUCCACAGAACAGGAUCAGCAUGGGCAGAGACACUGCACACUUCUUGACACACAUCCAGCCUAUGCACUGGCUUGGAGGCACCAUCUAUAUGGGUCACAGAGCCUAUUUCUUCUUUGGUCUUUCUGCCAAUGGAUUCU